rnacentral:rRNA from 1 species
AGAAUCAACGCUGGUGGCGUGCCUAACACAUGCAAGUCGAACGCGAAAGCCCCGCAAGGGGCAAGUAGAGUGGCAAACGGGUGAGUAACACGUGGGUGACCUGCCUUCGAGCGGGGGAUAACGGUCCCGAAAGGGACGCUAAUACCGCAUGACAUCCUGCCUUUGAAGAGGUGGAGAUCAAAGCUGGGGAUCGCAAGACCUGGCACUCGAAGAGGGGCCCGCGCCUGAUUAGCUAGUUGGUGGGGUAACGGCUCACCAAGGCGACGAUCAGUA